CCUCUCAUAGCUCAGUUGGAAGAGCGAAGCAUUGUAAUCACUUGACUUGUUCACUUUCAGGACUGCUUAGGUCGCCCGUUCGAUCCGGGCUGAGAGGA